UCGAAACCAUUUUACAUCUCUAACGGCUCCAGACAAGGUUGCCCCCUAUCCCCACUGCUCUACAUCCUGGCACUAGAACCCCUUACCCAACUAAUCAGAGACAACCCCAAUAUCCAUGGAAUCAAAAUCAAGAACCGAGAAUACAAAUUAUCCCUUUUUGCGGAUGAUAUCCUACUUACCCUGGAACAACCGCAUAUCUCCCUGCCCAACUUCCACAAAAUUCUCUCGCUCUUCAGUGCCUGCUCUUACUACAAACUGAACGUCUCCAAAACGCUCGCCCUAGGCAUCAAUAUCCCAGACCAAGAACUUUCAACUCUCAAAGCUAACUUUAACUACGACUGGCGACGAGACCAUA